rnacentral:misc_RNA from 1 species
UAUUCUCAACCUUCAAAACUUUUGUGAUGAAGGCUUGGAUUUGGAGGUCGUGUCGGCGCGAGUCGACUCCUCUGAAAUGCAUUAGCGUGAAUCUUACGGAUCGCCUUCAGUGUGAUAAUUGUCUACGCUGUGGUGUUGAAGUAUUUGAGUGUUCGUGCUUACAAUCGUCCGCGAGGACAAUGUUACUUGACA